UAGGGAAUCUUCCGCAAUGGACGCAAGUCUGACGGAGCAACGCCGCGUGAGUGAAGAAGGAUUUCGGUUCGUAAAACUCUGUUGUUAGAGAAGAACAGCGCAUAGAGUAACUGUUAUGCGUGUGACGGUAUCUAACCAGAAAGCCACGGCUAACUACGUGCCAGCAGCCGCGGUAAUACGUAGGUGGCAAGCGUUGUCCGGAUUUAUUGGGCGUAAAGCGAGCGCAGGCGGUCAAUUAAGUCUGAUGUGAAAGCCCCCGGCUCAACCGGGGAGGGUCAUUGGAAACUGGUUGACUUGAGUGCAGAAGAGGAGAGUGGAAUUCCAUGUGGAGCGGUGAGAUGCGUAGAUAUAUGGAGGAACACCAGUGGCGAAGGCGACUCUCUGGUCUGUAACUGACGCUGAGGUUCGAAAGCGUGGGUAGCAAACAGG
rnacentral:rRNA from 1 species